rnacentral:rRNA from 1 species
CCAGACUCCUACGGGAGGCAGCAGUGAGGGAUAUUGCACAAUGGGGGAAACCCUGAUGCAGCGACGCCGCGUGGGUGAAGAAGCGCCUCGGCGCGUAAAGCCCUGUCAGCAGGGAAGAAAAUGACGGUACCUGAAGAAGAAGCCCCGGCUAACUACGUGCCAGCAGCCGCGGUAAUACGUAGGGGGCAAGCGUUAUCCGGAUUUACUGGGUGUAAAGGGGGCGCAGACGGCGAUGCAAGCCAGGAGUGAAAGCCCGGGGCCCAACCCCGGGACUGCUUUGGAAACUGUGAAGCUGGAGUGCGGGAGGGGCAGGCGGAAUUCCUGGUGUAGCGGUGAAAUGCGUAGAUAUCAGGAGGAACACCGGCGGCGAAGGCGGCCUGCUGGACCGUAACUGACGUUGAGGCUCGAAAGCGUGGGGAGCAAACAGGAUUAGAUACCCUGGUAUC